GUAACCUUUAACGGAGAAGAGUAUUCUCUACUCUUCUUCUCAAAUUGCCGUCUCUUAUGGAAAAUGUUUCCCUUGUUCAGGUGGUUGUGAUUUUACCUCUUUAAACUUGAUGGCUCUGCUGCCGUGGAUGAUUUGUUCCCCUAUUCCAAUGUAUACCAAGCUUCUUCUUAUAGCAUACGAUCUUAACCAAGGCGGCUAUAUCCCCACGCGAUGCAGGAACCGACUGUUCUACUUCUCCUACUUAGUGCUCGGACUCAUGAUCAUCUCGGUUGUA